rnacentral:rRNA from 1 species
CGCGUGAGGAACCUGCCUCAAAGAGGGGGACAACAGUUGGAAACGACUGCUAAUACCGCAUAAGCCCACGGCUCGGCAUCGAGCAGGGGGAAAAGGAGCAAUCCGCUUUGAGAUGGCCUCGCGUCCGAUUAGCUAGUUGGUGAGGUAAUGGCCCACCAAGGCGACGAUCGGUAGCCGGACUGAGAGGUUGAACGGCCACAUUGGGACUGAGACACGGCCCAGACUCCUACGGGAGGCAGCAGUGGGGAAUAUUGCACAAUGGGGGAAACCCUGAUGCAGCGACGCCGCGUGGAGGAAGAAGGUCUUCGGAUUGUAAACUCCUGUUGUUGAGGAAGAUAAUGACGGUACUCAACAAGGAAGUGACGGCUAACUACGUGCCAGCAGCCGCGGUAAAACGUAGGUCACAAGCGUUGUCCGGAAUUACUGGGUGUAAAGGGAGCGCAGGCGGGAGAACAAGUUGGAAGUGAAAUCCAUGGGCUCAACCCAUGAACUGCUUUCAAAACUGUUUUUCUUGAGUAGUGCAGAGGUAGGCGGAAUUCCCGGUGUAGCGGUGGAAUGCGUAGAUAUCGGGAGGAACACCAGUGGCGAAGGCGGCCUACUGGGCAUCAACUGACGCUGAGGCUCGAAAGUGUGGGUAGCAA